AAUACUAUCAGUGAUUUUGGCGUGUGUGUCGACCUCUGAGCUGGAUGAGUCCUCCUCCAUCGAGACUCAUGUACUGAUGUCUCAACUGAUGCAUGUUCCUCACCUGCAGUUAGCAGAUCCUCUGAUCCAGAGUUUGAUCUGCAGGCUGCCACCCAGGAGAAAGACACAAUCGGAGACGUGGCUGGAGAGCAGAGCUCCACUUCCAGCACCCUCAGAUCUGCUGUCUGCAGCUCUGGAAAUGCAGGCCAUCAGAGAUGCAGGUGGAGAUCAAACCAUCUCUGAUGGGGAUCUCGACUGCAUCCUCAGUGUGUUGGCCAGUAUGACGGCGCAGUCUAGCGGUCUGUCUCAGGCUGAAAUACUGCAGCUCAUACAGUGCAGUUCUGAGCAGGAGCAGAUUGAGAUCAAGCAGCUGUGGAGCUCCAGGAGCAUUACAGAGGAUGAUGUGUGCUGACAGCAUCGCCAGCUAACAUAAAGCACGUAGGGUAAAUGUUGUAAAAUGA
ensembl:lncRNA